UACAGAGGUCCCAAGCGUUGUUCGGAUUCACUGGGCGUAAAGGGUGCGUAGGUGGUCGGGUAAGUCCGAUGUGAAAUCUCCAGGCUCAACCUGGAAAUGGCAUUGGAUACUAUCCGGCUUGAGGAGUGGAGGGGGGACUGGAAUUCUCGGUGUAGCAGUGAAAUGCGUAGAGAUCGGAAAGAACACCAACGGCGAAAGCACUCUGCUGGGCCGACACUGACACUGAGAGACGAAAGCUAGGGGAGCGAAUGGG
rnacentral:rRNA from 1 species